rnacentral:rRNA from 1 species
GAUGAACGCUAGCGGCAGGCUUAAUACAUGCAAGUCGAGGGGCAGCAUGACUGUAGCAAUACAGUUGAUGGCGACCGGCAAACGGGUGCGGAACACGUACAGAACCUUCCUUUAAGUGGUGAAUAGCCCAGAGAAAUUUGGAUUAAUACACCGUAACAUAUAGAGUUGGCAUCAAUUUUAUAUUAUAGCUCCGGCGCUUAAAGAUGGCUGUGCGGCUGAUUAGGUAGUUGGCGGGGUAACGGCCCACCAAGCCUACGAUCAGUAACUGGUGUGAGAGCACGACCAGUCACACGGGCACUGAGAAACGGGCCCGACUCCUACGGGAGGCAGCAGUAAGGAAUAUUGGCCAAUGGACGCAAGUCUGAACCAGCCAUGCCGCGUGGAGGAUGAAGGUCCUCUGGAUUGUAAACUUCUUUUCUCUGGGGCGGAAACCUCCCAUUCUUGGGAGCUUGACAGUACCAGAGGAAUAAGCACCGGCUAACUCCGUGCCAGCCGCCGCGGUAAAAC